GACCAAGACUCGGAGUAGUUCAUGAAGAGAGAGAAGAGGGGAACAAGGCGAGGCUUAAAAGGAAAAGGGAAAACAGGAAGCGACCAUUCCCAGAGACGGACAGACAGACAAACCCAAGGAGGGUGAAGUCAACUGUCUUCCCGGCCUGUUGGGAGCCCUCCCCUCACUUUGAACUGGGCCAAAGGAGUCCAGCCCACAAGGCGUCUGAGGAAGGGAUGUCUCUGCCCAACUGGAGAAUCUCCUCAAGGGCUCAGCUGCGAAACACCUGUCACUCAACCAGGAGAUUUACUCCAAAUUUCAAGUCCAGCUUUUUAGAAAGUAGAAGACUGUCUACUCCCCAGGUAUGGAGCCCAGGCCCUGAGGCAGGACGAUGAGAAAACCAAGGCACUGAAAGCUGGAAAGGGGCAGACCAGACGCAAACACUGCUUUCUUGACUCCACUCACUACAAGCUGCUUCCUUAAGCCUAAACUUGGCUCUUGCCUCACAGGACUAUCUUGCAGGAACCUAGCAACCCACCUUGCCCCAUCCUGAGGCAGAGGAGGCAGAGAUCACAGACAGCAUUCUCUCCAUUACCUACAGACGGAGAAUUAAAGCGCAGAGAAGCUGCGAGGGACAAUUGUGGUGAUCAUGACAAGACAGCCCUCGGGAUCUGAAUCCACAUCCACCUUGAUGGGUUGAGAGGACUAGAAACCAGAGAACACCCCCAUCUCUAAUGCCGCAAGAGGCCCCUGAUGCAGGAUCUUGCAGGAAUAAGAAGGCUCCAUGGAACGGGACGAGGCAGGAGCAGAGAGGAGCCAUGAUACGUUAACUCUCCCAGUCACCCCACUGAUCAAAACCUUAAGACUUGAGGAUUCUGGUUCCUUGUGCUGGGGGUCUCCAUCUAUCCCCACUCAAGCACAAGAA
ensembl:lncRNA TLX1NB TLX1 neighbor